AGAGUUUGAUCAUGGCUCAGGAUGAACGCUAGCUACAGGCUUAACACAUGCAAGUCGAGGGGCAGCAUGGUCUUAGCUUGCUAAGGCUGAUGGCGACCGGCGCACGGGUGAGUAACACGUAUCCAACCUGCCGUCUACUCUUGGCCAGCCUUCUGAAAGGAAGAUUAAUCCAGGAUGGGAUCAUGAGUUCACAUGUCCGCAUGAUUAAAGGUAUUUUCCGGUAGACGAUGGGGAUGCGUUCCAUUAGAUAGUAGGCGGGGUAACGGCCCACCUAGUCAACGAUGGAUAGGGGUUCUGAGAGGAAGGUCCCCCACAUUGGAACUGAGACACGGUCCAAACUCCUACGGGAGGCAGCAGUGAGGAAUAUUGGUCAAUGGGCGAUGGCCUGAACCAGCCAAGUAGCGUGAAGGAUGACUGCCCUAUGGGUUGUAACUUCUUUUAUAAGGAAUAAAGUCGGGUAUGCAUACCCGUUUGCAUGUACUUUAUGAAUAAGGAUCGGCUAACUCCGUGCCAGCAGCCGCGGUAAUACGGAGAUCAGCGUUAUCCGA
rnacentral:rRNA from 1 species